AUUGAACGCUGGCGGCAGGCCUAACACAUGCAAGUCGAACGAGUGGCGGACGGGUGAGUAAUGUCUGGGAAACCGCCCGAUGGAGGGGGAUAACUACUGGAAACGGUAGCUAAUACCGCAUACUCUCGUUUUUGCCCAGAUGGGAUUAGCUAGUAGGUGGGGUAACGGCUCACCUAGGCGACGAUCCCUAGCUGGUCUGAGAGGAUGACCGGCCAAACUGGAACGGAGACACGGUCCAGACUCCUACGGGAGGCAGCAGUGGGGAAUAUUGCACAAUGGGCGCAAGCCUGAUGCAGCCAUGCCGCGUGUAUGAAGAAGGCCUUCGGGUUGUAAGGUACUUUCAGCGGGGAGGCGUUACUCGCAGAAGAAGCACCGGCUAACUCCGUGCCAGCAGCCGCGGUAAUUC
rnacentral:rRNA from 1 species